UAACAUUUUGUAGUCACAGACCCUCAGUGAAGCCUCUGCCUUCCAUUCCUGUUAAGUCACUUGGAGGGACAGACAGUUUUUCCUCCCCAUGCUGAUCUCAACAGCCCUCCUAGUGAAUUGGUUUGCAUGGUUUAGAAGAUGAAGUGAUGGAGGAAAAAUUGUGCUAUGUGAUGCUUCCUUCAGAUGACAGCAAGCUGCCAAUAAGCCAGGUUAUCUGCUGUAGGCUUCCAGGAGUUAAUAACUUCAGAAGGCAUUACCUUAAUUCAGCUAGUUGCUUCCUAACCAAGUGGAAGGUUGCUAGAUGAACAUUCACUGCAGUGAUCUUUUAAGAAAAAAAAAAAAAAGAA
rnacentral:lncRNA from 1 species